rnacentral:rRNA from 1 species
CCUUAGAGUUUGAUCCUGGCUCAGAACGAACGCUGGCGGCAUGCCUAACACAUGCAAGUCGAACGAGAUCCUUCGGGGUCUAGUGGCGCACGGGUGCGUAACGCGUGGGAAUCUGCCCUGGGGUACGGAAUAACUCAGAGAAAUUUGAGCUAAUACCGUAUGAUGACGUUAAGUCCAAAGAUUUAUCGCCCUGGGAUGAGCCCGCGUAGGAUUAGCUAGUUGGUGGGGUAAAGGCCUACCAAGGCGACGAUCCUUAGCUGGUCUGAGAGGAUGAUCAGCCACACUGGGACUGAGACACGGCCCAGACUCCUACGGGAGGCAGCAGAAGGG